rnacentral:misc_RNA from 1 species
CAAAUGCAAAUGCGAAUCUUCAAUCUCCUCCUUGUCUUUGUUUUUGCUCUUUUUAUGAUUGCUAUCGUCCACAGAAUGAGAAAUGGACGUCGAUGAGAAUGAGUUUUUGGAUUUUGGCCUGUAUUUCCUUUCCCAAGAGGGUAAUGUUAGUACGGGCGACCCAGGAGAAGAAGAAGAAGCGAUCACGAGCUCCUCAUCAGCGAAUCUCCGAAUUGCCUCGCCAACAUCCCUCAGCGACUGAAAAUACAAGACGUGGGCAGCGGCAAGGGCGUAGCGGUGGUCAGAUGCUGCCUUGAUAAGUUCUUUUCGCUCUCUGCAACGAGUUACUAGCGGCAAAUCAUCGACUUUGGAUCCUCCACAGCCCAUAUCA